rnacentral:rRNA from 1 species
GGGAUCCGAUUUUAGCAUGGAAUAAUAAAAUAGGACUUUGGUUCUAUUUUGUUGGUCUUCGGAACCAAGGUAAUGAUUAAGAGGGACAGACGGGGGCAUUAGUAUUGCGACGCUAGAGGUGAAAUUCUUGGACCGUCGCAAGACUAACUAAAGCGAAAGCAUUUGCCAAGAGUGUUUUCAUUAAUCAAGAACGAAAGUUAGAGGUUCGAAGGCGAUCAGAUACCGCCCUAGUUCUAACCAUAAACGAUGCCAACCAGCAAUCAGCCUGAGUUCUCUUGAUGACUCGGCUGGCGGCUUCCGGGAAACCAAAGUUUUUCGGUUCCAGGGGAAGUAUGGUUGCAAAGCUGAAACUUAAAGGAAUUGACGGAAGGGCACCACCAGGAGUGGAGCCUGCGGCUUAAUUUGACUCAACACGGGGAAACUCACCAGGUCCAGAAAUCUAGA